rnacentral:hammerhead_ribozyme from 1 species
AUACUGAUGAACAGUCCGAAACUAGGACGAAACGGCUGUCCAGUAU